ACCUAAAAAAGUUAGGACAAUUGUCAUUCAAAAUGCAAAUGAUGAAUUAAUCACCACUAGGGUGGUUACUAGUUGGCAUAUGUGCAUAGAUUAUAGGAAAUUAAAUAGUACCACCAGAAAAAACCAAUUUUCUCUUCCUUUCAUAGACCAAAUGUUGGAAAGAUUAGUAACACAUUCCUACUUCUGCUACCUAGAUGGGUAUUCGAGAUUCUUUCAAAUCCCUAUUCACCCA
rnacentral:misc_RNA from 1 species